rnacentral:misc_RNA from 1 species
GUAUUGAUUGUUACCCCGUGGGGCGGUUUACAUGCGUUACAAGACAGGCUGUGGUGCGUUUGGGCGGAGAGCAUCCCGAUCCGACGCGUAAACGCCGGACUUUUAGCCAAAGGAGGACGCUCGCCUAAAGGGUGCACAGGUGUUAAUGAUGUCGGGGGCGAGCACAUGCCAAACGGGCCAGCAUCUUUUUAAAAACCCCACCCACACUUGACACGAUAAUGAUCCUUCCGCAGGUUCACCUACGGAAA